AGUGGGGAAUCUUAGACAAUGGGCGCAAGCCUGAUCUAGCGAUGCCGCGUGAGUGAUGAAGGCCUUAGGGUCGUAAAGCUCUUUCGCCUGUGAAGAUAAUGACGGUAGCAGGUAAAGAAACCCCGGCUAACUCCGUGCCAGCAGCCGCGGUAAUACGGAGGGGGUUAGCGUUGUUCGGAAUUACUGGGCGUAAAGCGCACGUAGGCGGACUAGUCAGUCAGAGGUGAAAUCCCAGGGCUCAACCCUGGAACUGCCUUUGAUACUGCUAGUCUUGAGUUCGAGAGAGGUAAGUGGAAUUCCGAGUGUAGAGGUGAAAUUCGUAGAUAUUCGGAGGAACACCAGUGGCGAAGGCGGCUUACUGGCUCGAUACUGACGCUGAGGUGCGAAAGUGUGGGGAGCAAACAGGAUUAGAUACCCUGGUAGUCCACACCGUAAACGAUGAAUGCCAGACGUCGGGUAGCAUGCUAUUCGGUGUUACACCUAACGGAUUAAGCAUUCCGCCUGGGGAGUACGGUCGCAAGAUUA
rnacentral:rRNA from 1 species